rnacentral:misc_RNA from 1 species
AUAUAUAUAUAUAUAUAUAAUCUUCAACCUGAUUGAAAGGAAUUCCACAUUUUACUAAGCAUAAGGGAACAAUUAUGUAGAAAUGAGUAUUCUUCAUAAUUUCCUUGAAAGAGGUUUAUUAUUUUUUUUGUUGGUUAUAUUUACAAAUUUGUUGUUAAAACUUGGAACUUUUGCUAUAUUUACGAUGGAUUUCUUAAUUUUAGUUGGCUCAAUUAACCUUUGUUUAGUUUAUGCAUUUUGCAAAUUUUUGAAAAAAAUUUGUGCAAUGAUAGGCUAUUACUGUUGUGUUGCCGCUCUAUCAUAUGCCACUAACCAUUAUCGCGUCUGUGACCAUGUUUUAAACCCAUGUUACUGUAUUACAUGACUUGCAUAUUGAAGACAGAUUCUCAAUUGAGAUGGUUGAAAAGAUGUAAUCAGUGGGUGUUGUUUGAGAAGAUAACAACACUGUAAAGAAAGAAGAGAGUCUGUGCACGCUUUAUUGCAAGUAUUGCUGGUUUCACAUGACAGCUUAAAGAAAGAAACUCCCUAUUGAACACAAUUACCAUGUCCAUGUUGCCUUGUCAGAGGAAUAGGCCACUUAAUCAGUGGUCUCAGUUAACAGGUGGUCCAUAAGAGGAUUUCUUUGUUAAGUAUCUUGGCUGCUGAGUCACAACUUGAAGGAAACCUUUUCUUGUGGAUCUCAGUUCCUCUAAGCCUUGGGACCUCCUUAAGAGGCUAUGUAGGGCUACGGCAUUUUAUUUUGGGAUAAAAUGAAAGAACUAUCAGCCUUAAUGGCAGAUACUAAACUGGAAGUGAUGCAUCCUUUUCUCACGUGUGACAAUGUUAUGGAAAGUCAAUCACUA